AGAGGGAGGAGGAAGAACGCUGAGACUAGAGGGAGAAGUGUUUCGGGAAGCAGAGCACGAGCCCUGAUCCCGCCCUCAGGGUAUCGCGCGCCGGUGACCCUGGUGCGGAAGGGCUGCUGGACCGGGCCUCCUGCGGGCCAGACGCAAUCGAACCCGGACGCGCUGCCGCCAGACUACUCGGUGGUGCGCGGCUGCACAACUGACAAAUGCAACGCCCACCUCAUGACUCAUGACGCCCUCCCCAACCUGAGCCAAGCACCGGACCCACCGACGCUCAGCGGCGCCGAGUGCUACGCCUGUAUCGGGGUCCACCAGGAUGACUGCGCUAUCGGCAGGUCCCGACGGGUCCAGUGUCACCAGGACCAGACCGCCUGCUUCCAGGGCAAUGGCAGAAUGACAGUCGGCAAUUUCUCAGUCCCUGUGUACAUCAGAACCUGCCACCGGCCCUCCUGCACCACCGAGGGCACCACCAGCCCCUGGACAGCCAUCGACCUCCAGGGCUCCUGCUGUGAGGGGCACCUCUGCAACGGGAAAUCCAUGACCCAGCCCUU
rnacentral:sRNA from 1 species